rnacentral:rRNA from 1 species
GAGCGUGGGCCCGCACUCAGUAAGAUCCCUCCGUAGGGUAACCUGCGGAGGGAUCAUUACUGAGUGAGGGCUCACGCCCGACCUCCAACCCUCUGUGAACCACACUUGUUGCUUCGGGGGCGACCCUGCCGGCGAACUCGUCGCCGGGCGCCCCCGGAGGUCUUCUAAACACUGCAUCUUGCGUCGGAGUUCAAAACAAAUCGAACAAAACUUUCAACAACGGAUCUCUUGGUUCUGGCAUCGAUGAAGAACGCAGCGAAAUGCGAUAAGUAAUGUGAAUUGCAGAAUUCAGUGAAUCAUCGAAUCUUUGAACGCACAUUGCGCCCUUUGGUAUUCCGAAGGGCAUGCCUGUUCGAGCGUCAUUUCACCACUCAAGCCUAGCUUGGUAUUGGGCGUCGCGGUGUUCCGCGCGCCUUAAAGUCUUCCGGCUGAGCUGUCCGUCUCCAGCGUUGUGGAUUCUUCAAUUCGCUUCGGAGUGCGGGCGGCCGCGGCCGUUAAAUCUUUAUUGAAAGGUUGACCUCGGAUCAGGUAGGGAUACCCGCUGAACUUAAGCAUAUCAAA